rnacentral:rRNA from 1 species
AGGAGGUUAGUGCAAUGGCAUAAGCCAGCUUGACUGCGAGCGUGACGGCGCGAGCAGGUGCGAAAGCAGGUCAUAGUGAUCCGGUGGUUCUGAAUGGAAGGGCCAUCGCUCAACGGAUAAAAGGUACUCCGGGGAUAACAGGCUGAUACCGCCCAAGAGUUCAUAUCGACGGCGGUGUUUGGCACCUCGAUGUCGGCUCAUCACAUCCUGGGGCUGAAGUAGGUCCCAAGGGUAUGGCUGUUCGCCAUUUAAAGUGGUACGCGAGCUGGGUUUAGAACGUCGUGAGACAGUUCGGUCCCUAUCUGCCGUGGGCGCUGGAGAAUUGAGGGGGGCUACUCCUAGUACGAGAGGACCGGAGUGGACGCAUCACUGGUGUUCGGGUUGUCAUGCCAAUGGCACUGCCCGGUAGCUAAAUGCGGAAGAGAUAAGUGCUGAAAGCAUCUAAGCACGAAACUUGCCCCGAGAUGAGUUCUCCCUGACUCCUUGAGAGUCCUGAAGGAACGUUGAAGACGACGACGUUGAUAGGCCGGGUGUGUAAGCGCAGCGAUGCGUUGAGCUAACCGGUACUAAUGAACCGUGAGGCUUAACCUUACAACGCCGAAG